rnacentral:rRNA from 2 species
GCAUAUCAAAAAGCGGAGGAAAAGAAACCAACCGGGAUUGCCUUAGUAACGGCGAGUGAAGCGGCAAAAGCUCAAAUUUGAAAUCUGGCGUCUUCGACGUCCGAGUUGUAAUUUGAAGAAGGCGACUUUGUAGCUGGUCCUUGUCUAUGUUCCUUGGAACAGGACGUCAUAGAGGGUGAGAAUCCCGUGUGGCGAGGAUCCCAGUUAUUUGUAAAGUGCUUUCGACGAGUCGAGUUGUUUGGGAAUGCAGCUCUAAGUGGGUGGUAAAUUCCAUCUAAAGCUAAAUAUUGGCGAGAGACCGAUAGCGAACAAGUACAGUGAUGGAAAGAUGAAAAGAACUUUGAAAAGAGAGUGAAAAAGUACGUGAAAUUGUUGAAAGGGAAGGGCAUUUGAUCAGACAUGGCGUUUGCUUCGGCUUUCGCUGGGCCAGCAUCAGUUUUAGCGGUUGGAUAAAUCCUCGGGAAUGUGGCUCUGCUUCGGUAGAGUGUUAUAGCCCGUGGGAAUACAGCCAGCUGGGACUGAGGAUUGCGACUUUUGUCAAGGAUGCUGGCGUAAUGGUUAAAUGCCGCCCGUCUUGAACCACGGACCC